rnacentral:rRNA from 1 species
UAGGGAAUCUUCGGCAAUGGGGGGAACCCUGACCGAGCAACGCCGCGUGAGUGAAGAAGGUUUUCGGAUCGUAAAGCUCUUUUGUUAAGGAAGAACGAGUGUGAGAAUGGAAAGUUCAUGCUGUGACGGUACUUAACCAGAAAGGGACGGCUAACUACGUGCCAGCAGCCGCGGUAAUACGUAGGUCCCGAGCGUUGUCCGGAUUUAUUGGGCGUAAAGCGAGCGCAGGCGGUUAGAAAAGUCUGAAGUGAAAGGCAGUGGCUCAACCAAUGUAGGCUUUGGAAACUGUUUAACUUGAGUGCAGAAGGGGAGAGUGGAAUUCCAUGUGUAGCGGUGAAAUGCGUAGUUAUAUGGAGGAACACCGGUGGCGAAAGCGGCUCUCUGGUCUGUAACUGACGCUGAGGCUCGAAAGCGUGGGGAGCGAACAGG